UGCAAUUUUGUUGUGAAAUUCACAAUCCAUGUCCAAAAGUGCUUGUUUUACUAUACAGCAAAGAAGGAGAAAUUGUACUGGGCUGACACCACAUGCAGUUGCAGUCUGUCUUUGGAAGCUGUUGAAAUAACCACAAAGAAGCUACAUUGACAUAGUGUUUUGGUUGAGAGAAGUUUGUGUAUGUACAGUUGUUGACCUGUUUUACCCCGUAGGAGUCACAGAUAACUUGAAGACAAAGGUUAGUGGAGAAGGGAGACAAAAGUAAUGAUAAAAGUAACAUAUAAUUAAGAAGUACUACAAGACUUUGUGUUGUCAUGUGAAAUGAACUAUACCUCAACUGUGCUGCUUGAUAUAUCUUUAAAAGUGUGAGACAACUAUGCACCAGCUGUAAACUGAGAUGGACCUACACAUGAAAUAUGUUGACUUUUCUAUGUAUUAUCAUCUCUACAGAAUAUGUGUAUGAAU
rnacentral:lncRNA from 1 species